UGGUGGGGCUGCUAGACAUGGGAGGGGAGAAAGGAAUCCUAACCCUAGGCUAAUGAUACCAUGAUGGAGAGAAUAGUGGCUUGUAUUCCUCCAACCCUAGAUGAGUGGGUAUAUAUAAUACCUAUACAUGAGCCUCUAGAUGGGCCUCUAUACACAUGGGCUCAAUAUACACCAACAAUUUGGAACCAAAGCCAAGCAAAGAUUUGAUAGAGUGGCAAAUCUAGUUCGUGAGUUGUUUCAAACAUAUUCUUCUAAAGGAAAAGAGCCAGAUGUUCCAUCUAUGGGCCACUUGGGAUCCAACAAUCAUGAAAUGCCUUCCAUGAAGACGGAUCCAUGGGCAGCUUGGGAUAGGCAGCUUAGUCAUGAUCUUCAGUCACAAAAGACAACAGAACUGGAUAGAUAUUUGGAGGAGAACCCAGUUCCGCGUUCUGCAGAAUUUGACAUCUUGAAGUGGUGGAUGGGUAAUGCAGUCAAGUAUCCCACUCUUGCAUGUAUAGCAAGGGAUCUGUUGGCCAUUCCAGCAUCUUCUGUGGCUUCUGAAUCAGCUUUCAGCACUAGUAAAAAAAUAAUCAAUGAUUUUCGUAGCAGCUUACUACCUGAGACAGUAGAAGCACUCAUUUGCACUCAGGAUUGGUUCAGGGCGGAAGGUAAAAAUACAAAGUUCAGUAUGUCAUCUAUCAAUGACUUGAUAAUGCCCAAAGAUAAUACAUGAAACUGCAAUUAGGUAAUCUAUCAAUGUUCAGCCUUGUCACUUUAUUCUUUUACAUCUGCAUGCUGCUUUCUCUUCUGAUGCUUUAGCUGCAAAUCAGAUUGAUAUAGCUACAAUUUUCUUGCUGCUGCAGGCAAACCUAGGUACAUCCCUGGUUGGAGUACUGUUCAUGAUUUUAGCAUAGUUAACCAGUCUCAAUAGUCAAUUGUGUUAGCAGUUAUUCUACUUAUUUUGUUUCAGACAUUGAAAGCUGUGUGUGCAUGAUGUCUUAGUAACAUAAAUCUGACAUGUUUGUUCUUUUCUUGUUUCAAACAGUUACUACAGAUGGUAGCUACUUCUAUGAAUUGCUUGGGGCACUAUGGAAUGUUCUUUCUUGCUGCUGCAGUUUCUGACUUCUAUGUUUCAUGGGAAAGUAUGGCCUGACCACAACCUUCAAGAUAUCAGGAUUAAGUUGUUUCCAAUUAAGAAGAGAAAAGUUGAUUCUGUAAAGGCUCCAACAACAUUGCCACCAAAGAGAAAACAGAGGAAGGCUUUCCUUGAGGCAGUCGCUUAAGUUGCCCAGACUCAUGCCAUUCAGUCUAUCUUAAUCUGCUUUGUGGUACUUGAAUUCCAAGUGUUUGUGUGGCAUUACAGUGCCUUAUCUGAACUUACCUAUCUUGCUAAACAUCA